rnacentral:rRNA from 1 species
AUUGAACGCUGGCGGCAGGCCUAACACAUGCAAGUCGAACGAGUGGCGGACGGGUGAGUAAUGUCUGGGACCCUGCCCGAUGGGGGGGGAUAACUACUGGAAACGGUAGCUAAUCCCGCAUACCAUCGGAUGUGCCCAGAUGGGCUUAGCUAGUAGGGGGGGUAAAGGCCUACCAAGGCGACGAUCCGAAACUGGUCUGAGAGGAUGAUCAGUCACACUGGAACUGAGACCCGGUCCAGCCUCCUACGGGAGGCAGAAGUGGGGAAUAUUGGAAAAUGGGGGAAAGCCUGACCCAGCCAGGCCGCGUGGGUGAAGAAGGUCUUGGGAUUGUAAAGCACUUUAAGUUGGGAGGCGUUACCAACAGAAUAAGCACCGGCUAACUUCGUGCCAGCCGCCGCGGUAAUAC